CCCUUAGAUGUUCUGGGCCGCACGCGCGCUACACUGAUGCAUUCAACGAGUUUCUUCCUGGUCCGAGAGGAAUGGGUAACCUUUUGAAAGUGCAUCGUGAUAGGGAUAGACUAUUGCAAUUAUUGGUCUUCAACGAGGAAUUCCUAGUAGACGUAGUUCAUCAGACUCCAUCGAUUACGUCCCUGCCCUUUGUACACACCGCCCGUCGCUCCUACCGAUUGAAUGCUCAGGUGAGCCAUUCGGACUUUCAUCAUGCUGGUUUCCAGUUUUGAUGAAGGAAAGUCUUGCGAACCUUAUCAUUUAGAGGAAGGAGAAGUCGUAACA
rnacentral:rRNA from 1 species